rnacentral:rRNA from 1 species
UACGUAGGGGGCAAGCGUUGUCCGGAAUUAUUGGGCGUAAAGCGCGCGCAGGCGGUUUAUUAAGUCUGAUGUGAAAGCCCACGGCUCAACCGUGGAGGGCCAUUGGAAACUGGUAGGCUUGAGUGCAGGAGAGGAGAGCGGAAUUCCCGGUGUAGCGGUGAAAUGCGUAGAUAUCUGGAGGAACACCGGUGGCGAAGGCGGCAUCCUGGACCGGCAUUGACGCUGAGGCGCGAAAGCCAGGGGAGCAAACGGG